rnacentral:misc_RNA from 1 species
UGGAAUGUAAUUAUUGCUUUGACUUAAUUAGCUGUUUUAUGUCAACACGAGUCUUUUAAGCAUUAAGCCUUUUUUUCAAUGUUUGUAAUUUUAUUGAUGAAGUGACUUUGAUAAAUCAAGAUGUCUCAAAUUUUAUCAUUUUUUCGCAAAGAAAAAGGGUUACCUUUGUUUGGUGAAAAAAAGUAUGGCCAAAAGAUUUCCAAAAAGUAUAAAUUGUCUGACAUACUUGGCAGAGGUGGUUUUUCAAUUGUAUACCACGGAGAAAAUAUUGUAACAAAUGAACAUUAUGCAGUCAAAAGUAUUGAAAAAAAGAAGCUUGUUGGACCUGAUAUUUCAAAUUUAGAAAAUGAGAUUUCUAUACUAAAAAAAAUCAAUCAUGCCCAUAUAGUAAACUUAAUUGAAGUUAUUGACAACCAUCGUUUUAUCUAUAUAGUUAUGGAAUUGGUGACUGGCGGAGAACUCUUUGAUAGGAUUGUUGAAAGAGGAAGCUAUACUGAAGCUGAUGCAUCUCAUCUUGUAAAACAGAUUUUAAAUGCUGUUAGUUAUUUACAUGAAAGAAGUAUUAUGCACAGGGAUAUAAAGCCUGAGAAUUUACUUUAUUACGACAAAAAGGAAAACUCUAAAAUAAUGUUAACAGACUUUGGACUAGCAAAAAUUGAAGACAAUGUAGUUCAAAAAACAGCUUGUGGAACCCCAGGAUAUGUGGCACCAGAAGUUUUAUUGCUAAAAAGCUAUGGUCGACCUGUAGAUUGCUGGUCUGUCGGAGUAGUUACUUAUAUUCUUCUCUGUGGUUAUCCUCCUUUCAAUGAUGUAGAUCAACAGGGUUACUCACAAAUAAUAGAAGCAAAUUAUGAGUUUGAUGAGCCAUACUGGAAAACUAUUUGUUUCUGGCUUAAUGGAACUAAACCCUCAAAAAAGGUUGACUUGCAACGAAGCACUUUCUCAUAAAUGGAUAAACGGACAGUUUGAUGGCCAUAAAAAUAUUCACCAAACUGUUUCUACUCAACUCAAAAAACACUUCAAUGCUAAAGCAAAGUGGAAGCAAGCACUGAAUGCAACAACAGCAAUACGGCGAAUGAAAAAUAUAUAAAUUUAUCGACAGUAACAAAACAUAACGACACUAAAAUGAAAAAACAUGAAUAAUUGCAACUUGUUAAAUUUUAUGUGAAAAAGUUAUUCGUUCUAAAAACGUUGACUACAUAAGAUGAAAAGCUAUAUAAAUAUUUGAAAGUUCAUAUGAAGAAUAGUUAUAUGAUAAAAAAAGUUAUAAAAGGAGAUCAAUAAUUUAUUUAAACUGAUUGGACAAUAAUACAACUUUUGCCUCUAUUGACGAAAUGAAUUCGUUUUUUAUAUUAACCUAAUUUAUGUUGUU